UUCGUCCGUCUAUUCAGAGGAAAAGAAGAACGGGGGGAGAGCAUGCGGGUGAACAACCUACGUACAAUUAAAAGCCAGCUAAUGAUGUGUAGAAGUUCCAUAGUCUCUUCGACCGACCCGAGUAGAUCUCAUCAUGUGGACCUCCUUCCUUCGUUCUAGUACCGAAACGGCCGGAGCUAGAGGGUGGACCGAGUGAACCUUGUCUUCGAUACCGACGUCCUGUGUCCCUUUUCGAAAACCACGGGGUUCCCUUGAUGGAACUCGUAGGUUCCGGAGUUCUCCCUUGACCACUUGAACAACCUUCUACAUUAGGAACAUGCAGUCUAGUUAUAAAUAAUAGAAACGGAAGCUACUUCGCCGUUUGGGUUAGGUGGACAGUUCUACUAGUCUCAUGAGAUACUCGUCCGGUGUGAAUUACGACUUGAAUAACUAGGGAUAGGGUGAUGCGGCUGCUUAUUGGGAAAAUGAUAGAGUUACUUGAAACGAGCAC
rnacentral:rRNA from 1 species